UGGGGAAUAUUGGACAAUGGGCGCAAGCCUGAUCCAGCCAUGCCGCGUGAGUGAUGAAGGCCCUAGGGUUGUAAAGCUCUUUCACCGGUGAAGAUAAUGACGGUAACCGGAGAAGAAGCCCCGGCUAACUUCGUGCCAGCAGCCGCGGUAAUACGAAGGGGGCUAGCGUUGUUCGGAUUUACUGGGCGUAAAGCGCACGUAGGCGGACUUUUAAGUCAGGGGUGAAAUCCCGGGGCUCAACCCCGGAACUGCCUUUGAUACUGGAAGUCUUGAAGAUGGUAGAGGUGAGUGGAAUUCCGAGUGUAGAGGUGAAAUUCGUAGAUAUUCGGAGGAACACCAGUGGCGAAGGCGGCUCACUGGACCAUUACUGACGCUGAGGUGCGAAAGCGGGGGGAGCAAACAGG
rnacentral:rRNA from 1 species